GGGCUGCACCUGCAGCAAACAGAGGUUCCCAGGCGAGGGGUCAAACGGGAGCUGCAGCUGCCAGCUAAGCCACAACCAUAGCAACACCAGAUCUGAGCGUGUCUUCCACCUACACUGCAGCUCAUGGCAUCACUGAAUCCUUAACCCGCUGAGUGGGGCCAGGAAUCAAACCCGCAUCCUUGUGGAUACUAGAAGUGUUCGUUAUUGCAGAGCCACAAUGGGAACUCCCGAGUAUAUUCUAUUGAAUGUUUAUGUUCGCUUAAUAGGAAUCAUAAUUUUCCUAAGCUCGUAAUGAUUAUUUUUACAUUUUUUUUUUGCUGGAGUGAAUUUGAACUUGCCAUUUCUCCUUCAAAUACAAUGAUGAUAUAUUUGUAGUUUUCAGAUUGUCAAGUAGAGUUGAGGUAAAUAUAAGCUUGAAAGGAAAACAGAAACUUAUUGGAUUCUGAAAAAAAACAUUCUGGAAAACACUACACACAACUUUAAAUGAUUUUUUUCAUUGUUUUCUGUGUUCGAUAGUAUGGGAAAAAUGGGUUUAAUUAAACUGGAGGAAAUAAAUCAAAAGGAAGGGCUGAUAACUAUUUAUACUUGAUCUUAGCCAAAAGGCCAAGAUGUGAUGAUAACUAUUUAAAGUAGCCAAGACAUGGAAGCAACCUUAAUUCCGUUGACAGAGGAAUGAAUAAAGAAGAUGUGGUACAUAUAUACGAUGGAGUAUUACUCAGCCAUAAAAAAUGAAUGAAUAAUGCCAUUUGCAGCAACAUGGAUGGACCUAGAGAUUAUUAUACUAAGUGAAGUCAGUCAGAGAAUGACAGUAUCAUAUGAUGUCAUUAUGUGUAGAAUCUAAAAAAAAAAAAUGAUAAAAAUGAAGUUAUUACAAAAUGGAAACAGACUCAUAUAGACUUAGGAAACAAACUUAUGGUUACCAGAGGAGACACAUAGAGGGGAGGGGUAAAUUAGGAAUUUGGAAUUAAUAUAUACACACCACUGUAUACUAACAAGGACCUUCUGUAUAGCACUCUAUUCAACAUUCUGUAAUAACCCUUAUGGGAAAAGAAUUUGGAAAAGAAGAGAUAUGUGUAUAUGUAUAACUGAAUCACUUUGCUGUACACCUGAAACUAACACAACAUUGCAAAUCAACUAUACUCCAAUAUAACAUAAAAAUUAAUAAAAAAUGCAUCAGAAAAACAUAAAAAAAGGAAGUGACCUAUGAACUGAAAGCAAACAUCGUCAACCACUCUAAUUUUUCUUCCUUCUGUAAAUGAUAUAUAGCAGGAUUGGAAGCAAAAAACCUUUUACCAUUCUUUCUGUGCUUUUUUUUUUUUUGCACAAAUGCCUUCCUUAAUGUUGAUAAUGAUCAGGCAGCGUGGCUCAAGGCGGUUCUUCUAUAUCGUGAUACUCAGAUACUUCAUGUAAACUAUCAAUUAUUAGAUUACAGCACCAAUUAACUACUUUAUAGGGCAUUCUCUAAACAUGGUAAAUGGGCAUCAUCUAUGGGUAUGUUUGUAUAUGACCGAUCUGUUCAUCUUUAGUUUUUUAUUAUUCAGAAAACCUCAGGUGCCUAAGCAGUUGUUCCCAUUAUUGAUGUUUUUCGGUUUCAAAAUGUGAUAUGCCAACGCAAGCUUCUGACAUUUCUUCAUUUCGCUUUUUGGAGACUUGUUUCUGCAACCCACAAAUUCUUGAUGCCUUCCUUUUGUAAGGAUGCUAGUAUGAAGUUCAGUGAGGAAGUGAUUUAGGAAUUAAAAGGUUGAUUAUAAGAGCCCUGGGAUUUACUAGCUGUGUAAUUUUGAGCUGGCUGCUUCUCUCAGAGACACCUUCCCUAUCUGCAAUCUGGGACUGAUCAUAGAGGCCUCAGGGGCUUGUUUAUAUCCAGUAGUGUGUGAGAAAUUAUGCAAUAAAAUUUACAGUGACACAUAAGGUGAUGUUAGAAAUGUAAGGUGAUGUUCAUGCUGACAUUGACCUUUUUCUAAAGACAUUUUCAUUUCAAACCAGAGAGACUUGUAAUUUUCUUUUCUUUUUUUUUUUUCCUUUAAGAGAGCUCUAGAAUCACCACCUUAGCAUUGACUGUUUCUUGGUGUCCCUACUAUGCUUUAAAUUUACCUCUUUUAUUAAGUCUACCUCUUUGAAUCUCUACCCACAACAUGGAGAUGCAUUUAUGUGCAUAUUUAUAUAUAUCUCCCAUGGAUUUAGUUCCUUGAGAGCAGAGAAAAAGUGUCUUGGUCAUCUUUGUAUCCAUAGCAUCGAGUACAGGGUUUGCCAAUAGUAUGCUCUUGCAAGUCACUAUUGAAUUAGAUUUCAUUUGGAAGACAAGAAAGCAGGAAUUGUAUGUUCUCUUCUUUCACUUGAUUUUCUUUUCUUAAAUAAAAUAGAGUUUGCCUUCAAAAAGAGUGGUUUAUACUGGGCCAACUUUAUUUUAAACAUUAAGAUUUUUAUGAAAGGGGAAACAAAUAGUAGGAGUUAGGUUGUAUUCAUAUGCCUUUCUUUCAUCUUUACUGUAACCUUUAAAAAAAUGUGUUGCUGUCAAAUGACUGCUUCGGUAUGGAAAACAAUUACUUUUUGUUAUGAAUAAUUACCUUUCUCCCUUAAAGAAUAUUGUUGAAAUACUUCGGAUGUGAUAAAUUCAUUUGAGUAAUAAAAAAAAGAAUGUUGUUGAAAUAAAUAAUAGCAAAGUACACUUUUCUUUUUUAACAAGGUACAACCUUGUUAGAAAGUACUUUGUGAAUUCAAUUUCAAGAAUAACUUUAUAUUAAUUCUAAAAUAUAAAGAAACUUGAAAAGUGAGUUUGAAUCAUUGACUUUAUAUCUUCUGAAUUUGUUUUUUUUUUUUUUAAUUUAUUUGCUUUAUGGGGCUAUACCUGCAAUGUGGCUCGGAUCUUGUGUUGCUGCGGCUGUGGUGUAGGCCUGCAGUUAUAGCUCUGAUUCGACCCCUAGCCUGGGAACCUCCAUAUGCUGCAGCUGCAAUCCUUAGAAAGAAAGAAAGAAAGAAAGAAAGAAAGAAAGAAAGAAAGAAAGAAAGAAAGAAA
rnacentral:lncRNA from 1 species